CAGAGGCUGGCUCGUGUACAGAAAACCAGCUCCGAUGAUCCUACAUUCAAGAGGGAUCUGGUUUCCAAUAUCAUCUAUGAACAAUCGAACACGAUGUAAUUAAGGCACAAGCCUCGAGGUGUGUUGGUGCGAUGAGAGCUGCAGUGUCAAAAGCAAUGGCUCUCCACUUAAGAGGAGAGUAUGGAGCUGAGGAGAUGCUGGCCGGAACCCAGCGUCGUCGGCCACGGCUAGCGAGGCCUCAUCCCCAACACUGGGCAAGCGACGCAAGCUCAGUGCUGCUUGAAGUCUUUGGGUGCUGGGGAAUG